rnacentral:rRNA from 1 species
UACAGAGGGUGCGAGCGUUAAUCGGAAUUACUGGGCGUAAAGCGCACGUAGGUGGCGACGUAAGUCGGGUGUGAAAGCCCCGGGCUCAACCUGGGAAUUGCAUUCGAGACUGCAUUGCUGGAGUACGGAAGAGGAGGGCGGAAUUCCCGGUGUAGCGGUGAAAUGCGUAGAUAUCGGGAGGAACAUCAGUGGCGAAGGCGGCCCUCUGGUCCAGUACUGACACUCAAGCGCGAAAGCGUGGGGAGCAAACAGG